AGAAGGAAUUAGCAAACUUGAAGAUAAGUCCAUUGAAACUAUCGAGUUAAGGAGCAAAAGAUAAGAGUGAGAAAAAGUAAACAGAGCCUAAAAGACACCAUGCACCAAACACAUAUACAUUAUUGAAAUCUCCAGACAAAAGAAAGAGAAAAGGGCAGAAAAAUUAUUUGAAGACGUAGUGGCCAAAAACUUCCCAAGUUGGAGGAAAGAUGUAAAUAUACAAAUCCAAAAAGUUCUGUGAAUCCAUGUUGGUUAAACCCAAAGUUACCCAUAGUACAUUCAUGCAUAAUUAUGUAGCAUUUGAAGAUAAAAAAUUUUGAAUGCCUUUUAUAAUAGCAUCCAAAUACAUAGGGAUACAUUUAACAAAAGUGUGUAAGAAGACUAUAAUGAAAACUAAAACUUUGCAGAGAAAAAUAAAACUACUGUUAAUAGAUAACUUCUUUCCAAAUAUAUCUAUAGAUGCAAUGGAAUACCAUUCCAAAUUCUAGUUGGUUGUUAAAAAUAGAAACUAACAAGCUGAUUUAAAAAUAUAUAUGGAAAUUCAUCCUAGAAUAUAUAAAAUAUAUAUGGAAAAAACAACCUAGAAUAGCCCAAAGAAUUUUGAAAAUGAAGAAAUUUAGAGACAUUACACUACCUGACUUCCAGAUUUAAGAUAAAGUCACAGUCUUCAAGAUUAUAAUGUACUGGUGAAGACAACACAAUAAAUCAAUGAAAAAGAUUCCAGGAAUAAACCCACACAUAUAUGGUCAAAUAAUUUGUUCCACAAAAACCCAAAAGCAAUUCAAUAGGAAAAGAAAACAAUUUUUUUCAAAAAAUAAUGUGGAAACAACUAGAUAUCCAUAUGAGGGGGAAACAAACCUCAACCCUUACUUCACACCCUAUAUAAAAAUUAUUCCAAAGGGAUCAUAGGCCUACUCAUAAAUAAAGUAAAACUAGAAAGCUUUUAGAAGAAAAACUAGGAGAAUAUCUUUAUGACUUUGGGUGUGGACAUAAAUUUGUUAAGGAAUUGACAGAAAGCACUGGCCACAUUGUUUCAAAAAAAUUGAGUUCAUUAAAAUUUAAGUCUUCUAACCAUCAAAAGACACUAUUAAGAAACAGGGAAAUCUCAGACUGAGAGAAAAUAUUCAUAUGUAUCUGUCAAGGGACUUAUGUCAAGAAUAUAUUUUCUAAAAGUUGCUACAAUUCAAUAAUAAAAAGACUAAUAUUUAAAUUUUAAAAUGUAUAAAAGCCCUGCCCUCCACAAUCUUCAAUUUAUAGCAGAAAGCAAGGAACACACACACACACACACACACACACACACACACACACAUACAGCCUGCUCAAAGUGAGUCUGCCCUGGAACAUGUGGGAAGCUGGUCUAGCUCUGCAUAAGAAGUGAACACUGUAUAAACUGACUUAGUGGAGAAGGUCAUCUGAGAGGAAAUGAGCCCUGUGCACUGAGCUCUGAAGAGCAGGAGGGCUGAGGUGGUGCAGGGGAUGGUGGUGUUUGUGGGACUUAAAGUAAGAUUAUCUGGAAUUAUCUGGGUGGGUCCAAUCUAAUCCCAGAAGUGCUUAAAAGCAAAGAACUUAGCCCAGAAGCAGAAGACAGUUGCAUGCACAUACUACAGUUUGGUUAUUCACUUCCCAGUGGAUGGACAUUUGGGUUGUUUCUAGUUGCGUGCUGCUGUAAACACUUUUGUGCAAGGCUUUUUGUGGACAUGUGUUUGCAUUUCUGUACAUGUUGUGAGUUAAAUGGAAGAGGUAUGUAUAAAUGUUUUAAGAAACUUGCAAACAGUUUUCCAAAAUGGUUGUAUCAUUUUACACCAUACAGUAAUGUAUGAGAGUUGCUGUUGUGUUAGUAGUGAUUAGCCUUUUUCAUUUUAGCAAUUCUGGUAGGUCUAUAAUCAUGUCAGGAGGCAAUUUUGAUCUGCACUUCCUUGAUGAUUAAUGAUGCUGGGCAUCUUUUAAUGUGCUGAUUUCCCAUAUAUCUUCUUUUGUAAAUUGUCAGUUCAAGGUAGAGAUUUUAGCAUAUGGUAAAUGGGUCACAUAUUGGGUUCAAUAACGAAGAUGUGGAGGGGUGGGUCUAGAGUUUUCUAUUUUAGAUGCAGUGAGAUUAUGCUGAGCUCAGUACAAAGUGAAUCUUCCCAGAGAAUAUCCUGAUUUGGACCCCACCAAGGCUACUAAGACACAGUUGUGUAAUUGACUGAAGCACAAGCUGGCCAGAGCAGUGUGGAGAUGGUGAGCAAAAUGAGAAAAGCUCAGAAACUUGGUGUUGAAAUUGGACAUGGCCAGGGGGCUAGAGGGAGGAAGCAAAUGGAAACCAGAGGGAAUUGGGAAAAAAUGCCAAAGUGGGGCCCAUGGAGUUGAGAAGACACAUAGAGUACCUUCGGGUUCAGUUCCUGGCAUGGCCGCUGAGCCAACUUCCCCACAGCCAUGAGAUCCACUGCUCAGAGACCCGCUCUCCACCCCGUAUCCCCUCUAAUCACUGAUGGGCUCAUACCUAACAUGGCUAUACUUGGAUAGUGCAUGGUGCCUGACAGCUUUACAAGAGUUGUCACGUAAGCAACAGUGGUACAUUGCUUUUCAUUUAUGCCGAGUUUCACAGUUUAACUUCCCACAAACAUGCUAACUGUGAUUUGUGCAGAGCAUAAUUAUUUCCAUUUAUAGAGGAAGAGACUGAGAUUCAGAAAGAUUCUGUCUUGCCCAAGAAUACAGAUCUUGGCAGAGCUGACCAUAAGGCCAAAGGAAGCCAUGGAGAUCGUUGUGAAGUGUGGGAAUUGCUGCAGGUGACAUCUAAAAGGAGAUUUAUUGAGGAUCAAGGCAGAGGUCCCCAGAGGACAAACUGUGCCUCUGAUUCCUUCCUGCUGCUUUUCUUCCUGGCAGAAAUAGAUGAUUGAAUUCAUCUUUCUCCUGGCACCUUGUCUCAGAGACUUCCCUUGCCACAGUUCCAGACCCAUCCAGGCCAUGACUGCCAUGUAGAUGACACACCUCUCUGCUCACAAAUAACUGGCCAAGCCUGAGGUAGCCACGUUUUGGAGCAUUGAUAAUAUGGGCUUUUCCUGUGUUGCCCCUAAACAUGUUGUUUCAUUUUGUCCCCUUGUCAUGGGGUCUUCACAGAACUCCUGUCUUAGAGGAUAAGGAAAGGCUCUUGCUCUAGCAACUGUAGACACCGGUGUGCGCUAAAGAGGGAGGUGAACCUUCGUAGAAGAAGGAAAAUUGUUUUGGAGAAGGGGAUUUUUGGAUCAGUGCUUGUGGCUCUGACUCUCUUUCUGAAAGGAACACCCAAGAAUAUGAGGAUUUUCUGUAUCUAGAGCUUGAAGACUAGCCUUCUCCAGUAUUUUGCGCUCUUCCUUAAAUGAUCACAAUAUAGUCUGAGGUCAGCUUUCUUCAAAAAGGAAUGACCUUACAGGCAGAGAAGAUAGCUAUAGGUGGAGACUGUUACCUCAUACUGUAGACUCAGAUGUGUAGGAUAGGUUCAGAUCCAGCUGCCAAGCUCAAUUUGGAGUACCUGCCAUUCUUGGUACUGUUCAUUCUGAACUAUAGAUUUCUUUGUCUGCUUCUCUAAGACAUCUUUCUGGCUUGUAUUUAGUGCUUAGCACACCAAACCACUGUCCUUCAAUUAUGAUAACAGUGAAUCAUUUCUGUGUGCUUACUAUAUACCACGUAACUUAGUAUACAGCCUGUAACUCAUACAAGUUAAGAAUUUUUUUUCAUUUUGUCAUCACAACCAGUAGGUGAGGUACUUGCCUGCUUUUCUCACUAGCUCUGACCACCCCAAGAUCAUCCCUGCAUGCUUUUAUGACCACAACCCUUGCUGUUUCGUGGAUUGGCCUGAGUGUGAGCGGUUCCUGUCUUGUGUUCACUCUCUGCUCUGGAGAGUCAGCUGCUGUCAACAAGUUUUCUUCUCCACCACCUCUCCAAUUCAUCUUACCCAUACUCAGUACUUCCCUGGGCUGAAGCCAAGCUCUCCCAGGCAGCCUGGCUGGGAGCUUUGCAGUCAGGGGCUCCAACGACUUGUAGCAGUGAGCUGCUGAUACCACCCACUGUUCGCUGAUGAGGGAGCCACCACAGAAGUGCUAACCAGCAUUCAGGGACACCUGGUAGGGGAGAGAAUUCUCCUCACAGGUGUAGCCCCCAAUGAUCUUGUCAUCGUCGUCAAAGGGGACAGCAACUGGAGUGGAAAUAGGAAGGGAGAAGUCAGUAGUAUGUUAGGGGUGGCGCUCCCAGCCUGCGGUUGCUUCCUGCUAAUUAGAAAUCCUUAAUAAGCACAGUGAAGGCAGGCAAGAGAGGGAGCGCUGCCACCCCACCCCUGGUGAGCAUCACUGGAUGUGGCUCCCAAGUCUCUGUGUCUGCAGGGCACUUAGGUACCCUGCGGGGGUUCAGAUCUCCUUACAGCCCAGCCUGGGAAAUAUGCAGUGUCACCUCCACCACAAUCCAGCCAGCUCGGAUUCAAGCAAAGGGCACUCAUGGGAAGAUGACCACUGGCCAGUGUGUUUCAUCAGGCUGGCAUCUUUGAAGACCAGAUACCACACCGACCUCCAGUGAUCCAAAGUGCUGGGAUUACAGGCAUGAUACCACACCACAGUCAUUUGAAUUUGUCAUUACUUGGUACUCUUAUUUUUUUCCCUGCUGCUCUUUUUGCAUUGAAGUCCUUUUGGGAUGACGUCAAUAAAACUCUUUCAUGUUUUUAAGAUUGUAUUUGUUUAGUAUUUCUUUUUCAACCUUUCUACAUGUAGCCUUUUUGUUGUUUUUAUUCUUCAGUUCUCAUGGAUACUGA
rnacentral:lncRNA from 1 species